AGCGACUAUAAAAAGGGGGAAAAUAGGAAAAUUGGCAACAUAGUGUUGCAAAAGAUCUAAGCAAGAAGACGGUCCAAAGUAGUUUUUAACACUAAAAAAAAAGUGAAUAUUUAUAUGUGUGUUUACUUGUUAACAAAAAGUUCCCCAAAAUCACAAUAUUUUUUUUGGUCUCCACUGACUGCUGAGUGGGGAUCUGGUGUUAAAUGCCCGGUCCUUGGGUUUAAAUUGGCCGUUGAAUUUGAAGGUCUCCCUGUUUGGUGUCAUACUUCUGUUUGGUGUCCGUAUCUGAGGCAGCGGAAUUUGGGUCAAAAUUGAUCGGAUGGCCACAAGCUGGAGAUUUUUUUUUGAUCGCAAGGUGUCAUCUCCUAUGGCAUAAAAAUUAAUAUUUUGCCACGUAAUUAAUGACCAGGUAAUAGACACCCUUUUUCUUUAUCCAUGUUUUGGAGCACGGAAGAAUAUCCAGGGAAUUGCAACUAAAAAAGAAAGAGAAAUCGACAAAUUAAGAAAAUUUAUUUGAAAAAAAAUCAUAAUAAUAAAAAAAAAAAAAAAAACAAAAAAAAAAUUAAUUUAAAUAACGAUAGGAAAAUAUUGAUAGACAUGCAAAUUAUUUUAAUAUAAACAUAUUGCAAAUUUAAUUGAAUAGUAUAAGUAUGUGUUGUGAUGUCCUCUCUUAAUGUUUUAAUGUAAGGAUGUUUAACGCCAGUUUCCUUUAAAUUUCACCUAGUACUAUAUGAGCAAUAUCCAGGGAAAGCUAGAGGGUGUAGUCGUAUGUUUCAAUUCGAGCCAAUUUUGGCUAGUGAGGCCGUUGUAAGAGAGCUCCUUUACAGUAGGUAAUAUUUUGUUUAGAAUUUGAGGUCUGAAAAGUGCAGACCAAAUUCCCUAGGUUUCUCACAAGGAAAAUUUGCUAUUUUUCAUAUGUUUACAAUUUUUUUUAAUCUGGUGUUAGAUUGUCCGUUUUAAAGAUCGACAAAAUUUAUCUGUAUUUAGCUGUAAGUCCUUUCUGUCAAUAAAUAAUGUUGUGAUUAGAAUUAGACUAAAAAUAAA